CCCGCACAAGCACGGACGUGUGUUAAUUCAGGCUACACGAAGAACCUUACCGGUUUGACAUCACCGUAGUAGGAAGCGAAACGGACCGACCCGGGACGGUGAACAGGUGCUGCAUGGCUGCGUCAGCCGUGACGUGAGAUGUUCGGUUAAGUCCGCAAACGAGCGCAACUCCUGCUGCCAGUUACAGGUGUCUGCGGACUGCCCGUGAGAAACGGAGGAAGGUGGGGAUGACGUCAAGUCAGCAUGGCCUUGAUAUCCAGGGCGACACACACGCUACAAUGGCUGGCACAACAGGUCGCGAAGCGCGAGCGGAGCCAAUCGAGAAAGCCAGUCGUAGUUCGGAUUGCAGGCUGCAACUCGCCUGCAUGAAGCCGGAGUUGCUAGUAACCGCGCGUCAGCCACAGUGCGGUGAAUACGUUCCCGGGCCUUGUACACACCGCCCGUCACGUCAUGGGAGCUGGUCAGUCCUGAAGUCGGGCGGCAACCGGAAGGAGCCAACCGCCCGAGGGGUGGGCCGGUGACUGGGACGAAGUCGUAACAAGGUUAACCAAGGCGAAUUC
rnacentral:rRNA from 1 species